rnacentral:rRNA from 1 species
CAGUGGGGAAUUUUGGACAAUGGGGGCAACCCUGAUCCAGCAAUGCCGCGUGUGUGAAGAAGGCCUUCGGGUUGUAAAGCACUUUUAUCGGGAGCGAAAUACCAUUGGCUAAUAACCGAUGGGGCUGACGGUACCCGAGGAAUAAGCACCGGCUAACUUCGUGCCAGCAGCCGCGGUAAUACGAAGGGUGCAAGCGUUAAUCGGAAUUACUGGGCGUAAAGGGUGCGUAGGCGGUUUGUUAAGUCUGUCGUGAAAUCCCCGGGCUCAACCUGGGAAUGGCGAUGGAUACUGGCAAGCUAGAGUGUGUCAGAGGAUGGUGGAAUUCCCGGUGUAGCGGUGAAAUGCGUAGAGAUCGGGAGGAACAUCAGUGGCGAAGGCGGCCAUCUGGGACAACACUGACGCUGAAGCACGAAAGCGUGGGGAGCAAACAGGAUUAGA